AGCCUGUCCCAGUUCGGACUGGAGUCUGNAACCCGACUCCACGAAGUUGGAUUCGCUAGUAAUCGCGCAUCAGCCAUGGCGCGGUGAAUACGUUCCCGGGCCCUGUACACACCGCCCGUCAAGCCAUGGGAGCCGGGGGCGCCUGAAGUCCGGGACCGCGAGGACCGGCCUAGGGCGAAACUGGUAACUGGGGCUAAGUCGUAACAAGGUAUC
rnacentral:rRNA from 1 species